UACGUAGGUGGCAAGCGUUGUCCGGAAUUAUUGGGCGUAAAGCGCGCGCAGGCGGUCUUUUAAGUCUGAUGUGAAAGCCCACGGCUCAACCGUGGAGGGUCAUUGGAAACUGGGAGACUUGAGUGCAGAAGAGAAGAGCGGGAAUUCCGACGUGUAGCGGUGAAAUGCGUAGAGAUGUGGAGGAACACCAGUGGCGAAGGCGGCUCUUUGGUCUGUAACUGACACUCAACUGCGAAAGCGUGGGGAGCAAACAGG
rnacentral:rRNA from 1 species